AGCAUGAAGCAUUGUGACGGACUUUACUCUCCAGUGUUUCCAGCGUGGUGAGCUGCGGAAGUACAUAAGGAGAGGCCAUCUGAAACACAUCUUUGCCUUUAUUAUGGUCUCUUAAAAUGUGAUUUGGGGAAUAUAAUUUCAUUGCGAGCUUCCUUCGCAAGCAGAAAGCCAUAGGAUUCCUUUAAAAUCAGAACCAAAGGAGGACCAAAACCUUGUUGCUGCGUAAAGGGCCCACUUCCAGCCUCCUGCCACACUCUGGGGCUAAGUCAUCAAGCAGACACUGAAGUGGGACAGCAUCUUCAACAGGUUUCUGUAAGAAAUGUUGAACUGGGUAUGGCAGCAUAUGCUUGCAAUUUUAAUUCCUGGGAGGUAGGAGAUGAGGAGAUCAGAAGUUCAAGGUCAGCAUUGACUGUGUAACAAGUUUGAG